rnacentral:misc_RNA from 1 species
GAAAUGCGAUACGUGAUGUGAAUUGCAGACUUCGUGAAUCAUCGAAUCUUUGAACGCAAAUGGCACUUCUGGGCUUGCUCAGGAGUAUGUCUGUUUGAGGGUCAGUUUUACGAUCACAGCCGCAAGGCUUUGUGGACGAUGAGCAUUCUUCUUGCCGAAGAUUGCUUGAAAGGUAUGCAGGAAGCGUAGCCGACAACCUCGGUUUGCGGUCAUUCCUAGGCACAGGUUCGUGCGAAAGCAAAGCCAUACGCAGGGAUUGUCCUGCUAUGCAGCCCCGACCUCCGGGUGUCUGUUCAUAGCUCGGGAGAUGAAUCGCCAUUGGCUGGACCGGUGUUCUAUUGGAAAAGGCCAGUUCGCAGAUAGCAAUUAGUGAUACUCGCAAGGGUUUUUUACUGACCUGCUGGAUAGCGUGACUGUGCUGACUGCGCCUUGGUGGCUAGCCAGCUGUUCCUGAGCGUCGUGGCGUGCCACGCGCAAACCCCCCUUUUUAAAACUCAACUAUGACCUCAAAUCAGGCAAGACUACCCGCUGAACUUAAGC